UGAUGGCGGCCGUGAUGUUGGACGAGUCCGGGGGCGGCCUCCAGACGCCCGGAGGAAGCCUCACCCUCGUCUGCAAGGCCUCCGGAUUCACCUUCAGCAGUUUUGGCAUGGGAUGGGUGCGACAGGCACCCGGCAAGGGGCUGGAGUCAGUCGCAGCUAUUAGCGGUGAUGGUAGUGGCACAGGCUACGCGUCGGCGGUGAAGGGCCGUGCCACCAUCUCGAGGGACAAUGGGCAGAACACACUGAGGCUGCAGCUGAACAGCCUCAAGGCUGAGGACAGCGCCACCUACUACUGCGCGAAAGAAUCUGGUGCUGGUGGUGGUGCUGGUGCUCCUGAAGCUGGUGAGAUCGACAGCGUCAGGGAUUUUCCUGCUGCCACCCACUCUCAG